AAUUCCAUACAAGUAUCACGUUCAUGUUUAAGAUCAAUUUAAAAACAAUCCAUUUUCAUCCAAGAAUACUCAAUUCCAUUCAUUACAAUCCAUAAUAGGUUCAUUACAUAGGAAAAAUGCAAAAAAAAAUUAAUGUCUUGACCAAAUGUUGACUUUGGUCAAUCAUUGACUUUUUGGUCAACUUUGACCAAAGUCAACCCAACCUUUUUCAUCCCCAAAUUCCCAUUCCUAAUCCAAUCCUCAAUGUUGGACUUUUGAUCUUUGAUUGACCAUUCCAUGAUGGAUACUUCAAGUUAUAACUUUGAUGCCAUGAGAUUUUG
rnacentral:lncRNA from 1 species